rnacentral:lncRNA from 1 species
UUGGUGUUUUCCAUGGGCCUCUCCUGUCUCCCGCCCUCCAGGGAAGGGGAUGAGAUUCCUGGAUGUCUUUUCCCGCUGCGGUCUCCACCCUCACGUUAAGUCCUGGAGCCUCUGCUCAGCCCCUGCUCCUCAGGGAGCCAGCACUCGCUGGCGCUGGGCUUGGAGCUGGAGCUGCAGGAAGGAAUUCAGGGGGUCCCUCCCGUCCUUCCAGGUGAGCUGUGGUGCACCAGACCUUGAGUUUUAAUGGUUUUAUGCAGUUCUUUUUAAAAAGACGGAUGGAUGAAUGAAGAAGGAUUUUAACAAAGGAAGAGGGAGGGAGAAAUGGAGCUGUUUGGAGCAAGCUGAGGUUUCCCCCCGCACCGCCUGGGCCAUGGGUGAGACAGAGCUGCUCAGCACCACUUCCACCCUUGGGUGUCUGCUGGAGUUGUGAAGGCACUCCCUGAACGCCCCCUUCCCGUUCACCUGCUGGGAGAUGGUUGCUGCAGAGAAGAUUUAAAUGAAAUUCCUGUCGCUCCCCAACUGCCAAGUGGAUACUGAGCCCGUGGAAGGGCCCGGGGGGUCAGGAGAAAGGAGCAAGUAGGAAAACCCACAAUCUGCCAGGCCUUCCCCUCCGCCCCCCUCGAAAGAAAGGAUUUACGGCUCAACCUUGCACCAGCUGUUCCUCGGUUUUAACAGACAAGAGAGAAAUAAAUAAAAUUAAACGGCCACCGCCAGCCAGCCCCAGACCUCGGUGAAAUCAGGGAGAGUGUUUCCGUGACCCCUCCAGCGAGGGGAGGAGGAGGAGGCACAGCAGCACCGUGAGGAAGCUGGGAUUGCUUGGAGACCACCCCCUCCUCCCGUGCGGCACCGCAGAGGUGGAUUAAAAAGGAGAAGUGGCUUCCCUGAGGCUCCCAGAGGGGCUUUUUUGCAAGGAGUUUGCUGAUCCUGCGCUCUUCCCGGGGUGCUGGCCGGGUGGGAGGUGCCCUGCCCCAGCCUGGGGAAUUCCCUCUCUUCAGAGCCUGCCUGUUGGAGUCCUGCUCCCUGUGGGCUGUUGCCUGGGCUGAGGCUCGGAAGGGCUCUCAGCGUUCCCGCUCCAACGGUUGUUCUAAACCCAAAUCCCCUCCUCUGUUGUGAAUUUUUAAUGUUUUUAACCCUCCUUCCCUGCGCCCGCGAGCUCUCCCGGGGCAGAGCGUAGGGUGGGCUCCUCUCCUGGUCCUCCUGCUCCAGACCCUUCUCCGGACUGUCCGCCCCGGUCGGAGCUCGCCCCGGGAGCGGGCGCAGGGGCAGGGUAGGGGUUGGCCCCUGUCCCCCUCCCCUUCUCGUCCUGCUCUGAGUCCCCUGGGGCCUGGGCUAUGCUGCGGGGCGGA